AUUGAACGCUGGCGGCAGGCCUAACACAUGCAAGUCGAGCGGAUGAAGGGAGCUUGCUCCUGGAUUCAGCGGCGGACGGGUGAGUAAUGCCUAGGAAUCUGCCUGGUAGUGGGGGAUAACGUCCGGAAACGGGCGCUAAUACCGCAUACGUCCUGAGGGAGAAAGUGGGGGAUCUUCGGACCUCACGCUAUCAGAUGAGCCUAGGUCGGAUUAGCUAGUUGGUGGGGUAAAGGCCUACCAAGGCGACGAUCCGUAACUGGUCUGAGAGGAUGAUCAGUCACACUGGAACUAAGACACGGUCCAGACUCCUACGGGAGGCAGCAGUGGGGAAUAUUGGACAAUGGGCGAAAGCCUGAUCCAGCCAUGCCGCGUGUGUGAAGAAGGUCUUCGGAUUGUAAAGCACUUUAAGUUGGGAGGAAGGGCAGUAAGUUAAUACCUUGCUGUUUUGACGUUACCAACAGAAUAAGCACCGGCUAACUUCGU
rnacentral:rRNA from 1 species